AAUCUGUUUUUGUGUGGCGGUUUUCCUUUCAAUAUGUCAGUGUUAAACUUGAAAUUUCUACAUGUUUUUGGGGAAAGUAAAGCACAGACGGCCCUGGUUCAAGCUGUUACUACCGGGGUAUUGGAUAUCGCAGGAAUCAUUGGUGGAGCGGGUGUUAAUAAGUUUGGAGUCAGAAAAAUUGGAAUGUGUGGUGGCCUGCUGGUUUUGUUGGGACUCGCUUCUUCAUUCUUCGCUACAAGUAUUCCCUAUCUAAUCGUCUCCAUCGGUGGUGUUUCAGGAUUCGGCUUUUCUCUAACGUUUGUGUCUUGCUUAACAUCCGUUGGGGAACAUUUUAACGGACAAGCAAAGCUGGUUGCGAUAUCAAUAAUUGGUGUGGGAGCUGGAUGUGGUUCCAUGGUGUUUCCUUUCCUGUUGAACUAUCUGACAGAACAAUAUGGCUGGCGAGGAUGUAUUUUAAUUGUGGGAGGAAUCAUGGGGCAAAUGGUAUGCUUUUUUGCCGUUUGUAAACCCAAACUGGUCGGAAAACCACAACGUAAACUUAUAAACAUUCUGGAAGAUGACAAAAACAAAACAUCACAGCUUCAUCACCUUCUGCAAGAUGGCAGUGGCAAAAACGGAAACAAUGCUAAUAUCAUUGGAAUACCCAGGGACCAAAAUGCCUAUACUAAAAAGUUAAAAUCACUUUGCGUAAACACUGUUUUUAUCAUUUUUAUUUUUGGAAUUUCCUUGGUCAUAUCUUCCUGUUGUGCUUCUUCUAUCUACAUGUUGGACUUCCUUCGAACUAAAGGCUUCGAUGAACAUCAAACUUUGUUAUUGUAUUUCUAUAUGAAUAUAUCCACAACUGUCGGUAGGUUAAUCCCUGGGUUGUGUAUACUGGUACCACACAUAGAUGGUCUUAUUGUAUCCGCAAUCUUUACCUGUUUGAGUUGUGUAGCGAGCGUCGGUUUACUGGAGGCAGCCUCAUACUACCACCAUGUGAUGCUAAUGUGUUUGUUUGGACUGGCCUUUGGUUGUAGUAACACAGUCCUAUCUAUGACUACAAUGGAACUUGUGGGUGUCGAUACUUACGCCGUUGGAAUGGGAAUCCUCAUGCCUGUUAUUGGUGUAAGCAACAUUUGUGCUGGUGCUGUAUCAGGUUGGUUAGUCGACGUCACUGGUUCAUACGAAGCAUCAUAUUAUGGCAUGUCAGCUGUACAGGGUGUGGCUGUUUGUCUGUUUAUUACGGCUGCUGUGAUACGAAGAUGUUGUCCACCCCAAGACAAUCAGGCCACUCUGAGCCAAGCGAUAGGCACACAUCAAGGUGAAUCAGACCGCCGUCCUUCCUUGCUUGAGACUUCUUGAUCUAGUUAUGGGCCAGUUCCCAUUAUCAUGAUUUUCAUGCAAGAAAUCCUCAACUGACGAACGAACUCGUAACACAAGGUUUCAAAAGGUUGGUUAUGUCAAUAAAAUAGAAGUUCUUAUAACACAACCAGUAGAAGAUUAGAGUGUGAC